UAAGCAAUUGUUAGAAUACAUCACCAAAUAACGGAGAUAAUAGAGGUAGCCAUAUUGUUGACAGUAUGCCAUAAUACCCUCUUCUCCUCUAACAAAAACUCUAUCUUAAUAACACAUGUUUUUCUUUAUAAAAAUUAACAAUUUAAAUUUUGUUUUUUCUACAAAGUGACGACUUAUCGCUCGACGUAAGAUUAUUCAUGUAGGCCAAUGCUGAAUGACCUUAAGAAAUAAUUAAAAGCCAUAUCAUCACAUUUAUGCUGAUUAAUACACAAGACAACUGUUCUUGCGUAAUAUUCCAUCCAUAUAAAUAAAUAUAUACAGUGACGUUUCUAAUUUUUCAUGUCAGUUAUGGCUCGAAGACCAUUCGAAGUAGUUAGAAACUUUGGUACAUAAACUCACAUAUAUGUAACCUGAAUUAUAUAAAAAUUGAGAUACCUAAUUAACUACAAAGUAUAUAAAGGCUUUCUACAGAUAAACUGCAUUGCAGAGAUUCUCCUUCUAAUUCCCGUAGACUCGUCAUCUUAUAGUAGAGUCACCUAUGCAGUUUCUUAACGUUGAAACAUAAUCUACAAGAAAUGGAUACAAAUAUCAUCCGCAAUAUUUUCAUCUUUAAUUCAGCAAUUAUCUUAUUCAUAGGAUUAUUGAUCAAUUUGUUCGAAUCUCAUUUACCUAUAUUGAUAAAGCGCAUGUAUCUCUAUGGUAAAUUUGGUAUAAAAACGCCUCACCAAAAAGCCUCAACAAAAUUCGAAGUGCCAAAAAGGUGGUUUAAACAUUUUUACAUUGUUUGUGCACCAGUACUGGCUAUUGCUCUUUGCUUAAUUUUGUACAAAUAUCUUUAUAAUGGGGAUGUACCUGAAAUUGUGUUAACAUUAUUAGACAUGUUAUUAGGAGAAUCAAGAAAACCAUUAAUAUCAGCAGAAGAUGCAAUUCUGGCUCUUGUUGUAUUCAGUAUGCAUUGCUGGAAAAGAGCAUAUGAGACAUUUUAUGUUAGUGUAUUUAGUGAUCAGAAAAUGAAUAUACUCCAUUAUGUUGUUGCACAUAUACAUUAUAUUGGAUUAACACUGUGUAUAAUAGGUGAAACUGAAGGAUUUGUUAAAGAUUCACAUGGAGAUGUGUUUCUGCACAAAAUUACACCUAUAAAAUUAGUUUGUGCGCUUAUUUGUUUAUGGUCGUCAUAUAUGCAAUUAAAAACUAAUUUUAUUCUUGCAAAGCUGCGUAAAAAUACGCAUGGUGACAUCGUAUCACUUGAACAUAAAAUACCAUCUGACGGUCUAUUUAAGUAUAUAGCAGGCCCAUUGCAAUUAUGCGAAAUACUUAUAUAUUCAAUGUUGUCGGUAAUUCUUUGGCAAGCUUCUACAUAUCAUUAUGUUACUCUUUGGGUUAUAGCAAAUCAGGUGGAAUGUGCAUUUUUGUCUCAUCAGUGGUAUCGCAAGACAUUUAAAAAUUAUCCAAAAGAGAGAAAAAUUUUACUUCCUUAUAUAUGGUGAAUCUCUCUUUGAGAUAUACAAUAUGGUAUACAUGUCGUAUAGUAAAAUUCUAAGGAAUUUAUAUUAUGAUAUUUAUCGACUCAAUAAAUCAAUAACGUAUACGGAAAAAAUGACUAUGAAUGUAACAACAAUAAUCUCUAUGUUUGGAAAAGAAAUGUAUGUGAAUUCUGGUUAUAUUGAUGUUAUAUCGACAUAUUAAGAGGCGCGGUCGCGUCUCGUGCCAAUUAAAAAAAAAAAAAAAAACGCAAAGCAAGAAAGACCGAGCCUCUUUUACGCGAGUUUGAUAUUACAUCUGUUAAGGUAUGCUUAUCUUUAUAGUUUUCACAUCCAUAGUCCUUAGGAUAAAUAACAUUAAAUUUUAUAAUAUUCUCAAAUAUGGUUGCCACAACCGAAAAAUUAUUGCUAUUUCUCUAAUAUUGUCAGCAGAAUAAAUACUAUGGUUGUGAGAUCUAUAAAAUACAAUUGCACGAUAAACUAAAAGUUUAUUUCAGUAGCAGUUCUUACGCUAUAUUAUGUGAAAUCACACUCGCGGCAAACGACGUAUUUUGUCAAAAAUAUAUUUAUGUCCGCUGGCAGAUACAUCGAGAAUAUAAAACUGCGUCCCGAUGUACAUUGAGAACUACAGAUUUUUUAGUACUGGCAGUGAAUUUUAAAACACAGCUAAUAAUAAAUAUUACUCGCGUGUAUUUGCCUGCAAGCAGCGUAUGUAUAUUAAACAUGUUCCCGACAUACAUAAUAAAUAUGCAUUCGAAAAUUG